rnacentral:rRNA from 1 species
UACGAGGGGGGCGAGCGUUAUUCGGAAUCACUGGGCGUAAAGCGUGCGUAGGCGGUCUUAAAAGUUAGGAGUGAAAGCCCCAGGCUCAACUUGGGAAUUGCUCUUAAUACUGUAAGACUUGAAUCUCGGAGAGGAUAGCGGAAUUGUCAGUGUAGCAGUGAAAUGCGUAGAUAUUGACAGGAACACCAGUGGCGUAAGCGGCUAUCUGGACGAGUAUUGACGCUGAGGCACGAAAGCGUGGGGAUCAAACAGG